GCAAACUUGGUCAUUUAGAGGAAGUAAAAGUCGUAACAAGGUUUCCGUUGGUGAACCAGCGGAAGGAUCAUUGGUGGAAGGCCCUCUGGGCCGACCCCUUCAACCAUUGUGAACAUGAAAACCGUAUGCCCCGCGGGGCCCCCGGGCCGCCUGCUCCCAGGCGUGCCCGUGGGUCCUGCGGGAGCCCUGAACCCGAACCCCGCAGGAAAGAACAUACCUCUGAACGAACACGAAGCCCUCUGCGGCUAGUGGGAACAACUUUUGGCAAUGGAUCUCUAGGCUCUGGCAUCGAUGAAGAACGCAGC
rnacentral:misc_RNA from 1 species